UCAAUCAAGUAAAAAGAAUGUGUAUGAUGUCCGACAAAAUACUUCACAGAAUUAAUUAAACUCAUAUUUUCCUUUUCAUACUUCUUGUCAUUUAUUUGCCUUCAAUAAAGAAGCCACUUUUUGGGAAUUUGACAUUGACAAUAUGUACCGCGUUCACAUGUCUUGGGUCGCUUGCGAGCGAACGAUCGGCUCGCGAGCCAGGCCUUCAUGCGAACAACCGCUCAAGAGCGGUUUUUGUUGUGGGUGACCCACGACAAGUCGCUCGAGUGGCUCUCGAUGCAGCUCGCUCUCGAUCCAUGUGAACAGCCGCUUGCAAGCGGGUCGCCAGCGAUCUGUAACCUCUUUUGUGUGAAAGCCAAUCAGACACAAGCAUUUUACCGGGGUCAAAGUAGCUGGCUUUUGCGCGAAUUUUGGAAACAAACGCCAUUUUCUGAAUUGUUGCGGUUUUGGUGGUUGUGUAUUUUAAUAUAUACAGUAUCUCUAAAAUGUCACUUUCAACUGGAUCUGGCCCUCGGGCCUGUUGGACCGAGGAAGAGAUCAGCGAUUUAAUAGAGAUUUGGGCAGAACCCGAAGUCAGAAUGCAAGUUGAGGAUAAAAAGUCCAAGAAUAAAACGAAAAUUCAUGAGAAGAUCGCUGCGAGAUUUUCGUCUAUGCCUGGCCCACUCGCUGACAACGGCACGACAAAUCCAGACGAAGUUACAGGAUUUGAGGAAAAGGUUCAAACAGUGUUUCUUGGAAGAGGUUAACAAAUCAGGAUCUUGGGCACCAAACUGGCCAUUUUACCACAGGGUUGGAAACAUUAUCGGCGAUUGUCCAAAUGUCAGGCCUCCACCUGGGACCGUUGGGGAAUCGUCGAUGCCACUUCCACCCAGGCCUGGGAUCAGAAACCGCAGGCCUAGCUUGCAAUCAUCGACAGCAUCAGGUUAGUUGAUCUUGAUAAUCAUGAUUUUUAAACAAAAUUUUGUUUUUAGUGCUGUGCCAGUACUAGGCCGAGGUACAACCUUAUUAAUACUUAUUAUUGAUAUUAUUUAUGGACCUGGUGGAUAGGCUAGGCUAGGCCUAGUUAGUAUCUUAACAACUAUUAUUACUUGUCCUAUAAAAUAUAAUAAUAAUAUAAUAUAAUAAUAAUAAUAAAUGCGUAAUAAUAUGUUUCCUGUUUUGGAUCGAUCCCUUGUUUUUUUUUUUUAGUAAACUGGCCUUUCGCUUGUAAUAAAAAUUGUUAAUAUUAAAUAAAGAAGCACUAGCUAGGACUUGUAUUCCAUUCCAUUCAAUUCCACUUGUAUUAAGUUAAUUUGGUAUUUUUUAAUGCAGAUGAUACACCUCCACAGAGAUUGUCGGACUCUUCCGUGGACACACUGUCUACUUCCAGUGGCGGUCAUCAUGAAUCAAUUUGUGUCACUUGCAAGAUGCCGUGUGGAGACCAUAAGUGUGGUGAUUGCGGUCGCCCCUGCCAUCAGAUUCCCCCAUGUAGCGUGCCUAGAGAUUCACAGGAAGAAGGGUAUGGCUGCCUUGUAACCUGUAAAAGCUGCUCUAAAGGUAAUUUAGGAAAUUGCAUGUUUCUGUUACUGUUUAGUUAGCCUACUGGUUUUGUCGGCAUUUCAGCACAGUUUAAUCAAACCUGAACCGACACUAUAGGUUUUGUACUUGAAGCAUGUCAGUUCCACUGUGUCUAUAUUUCACAAUGCAUCAUACUGUCUUAUUGAUGGUAAAUACUAUCAGUUAUUGCAAUUGAAGCCUUUCAAUUAACUCUUCGGGGCUGUAGCCUUUCAAUUAACUCUUCGGGGCUGUAUAACUGUAUACACCAAAUUUUUUUAAAGGUCAAAUGUCUUUCCUAAACCAACAUCUUCCAACCCUGUGAGACGAGCAACAUUGAUCCCUACACAAAAGGCGACAUCGACCCCAGCCCGGCAAACGCCUCCGAGCCCUGCACAUACAUCUGGUGUUCAGGAAAAUGAGAAUAUGUUUCACCCAGGUAAUUGUAGUUUAGUCAUAAACAUGCACCAAAACAGCGGUUUGUAGCUAUAAAUUGCAGUUGCUAUCCUGUGUAUCAAUGGAUUUUUUUCAGUGAGUAACUGUUUCCAGUUGAAUACUCUGUUAUAAAUUUCUUUGUUCAUGUCACAUUGCCAGCAUGUCGCAAUGAAACAGCUACCAAAAAAGGUGAACAGAGUGUACGCUCACUUGCUAAGCAUUUGCAGGACCAGAUGCGGGAGACGAGUAGGUGCCUUCGUUCGAUGCACGACGAGAAUGCGAGAGAAUUGAGGGAGGCGAGAAAGGAUGAGAUGGAGGUAUUAGGGAAGAUACAGUAAGCAAUAGAUAACCAACUGGAACAACAGACCCAGAUGAUGGGACGUACUGCAGCAAAUCAAGAACGGCUUAUCGGAGUUUUAGAGGCGUUGGCAGCAGCAGCCAUGCGGCCCCAGCAGUACCAACAUCAGUACCAACCCAAACUCAUUUUUAGGCCAGCUAAAUAAUGGUUUAUGAUUAAUGUAAUGUAAUCAUCUCAAUAUUUCAUAUUUUAACGUUUACUGUACUUGUGUAAUAUUUUCAUACCAACUACCACGAAAACGAAUGAAUUUCAAUUUUAAUGUGCAAUUUUUGCAUUUGUAUUUUUUACCAACUACCACCUUUAUAAUAGCUUGACAACUCAUCAGAAAUGCAAUAUGAUUAUAUGGAAUAUAAAAACAAAGAUAUUUAAACUUCAAGUGCUGUUUUUGCAUAUUUGUAUUUUUAUAGUUUGUAUUUUAAUUUUUACUGUACUUGUGUAAUAUUUUCAUACCAACUACCACCUUAUAAUAGCAGAACUCAUGAGAAAUGCAGUAUGAUUAUUUCUAAGUGCUAUUUUGCAUAUUUGUAUUUUUAUAGUUUGUAUUAUUUUUACUGUACUUGUGUAAUAUUUUCAUACCAACUACCACGAAAACGAAUGAAUUUCAAUUUUAAUGUGCAAUUUUUGCAUUUGUAUUUUUUACCAACUACCACCUUUAUAAUUGCUUGACAACUCAUCAAAAUGCAAUAUGAUUAUGUGGAUAUAAAAACAAAGAUAUUUCAAUUUUAAGUGCUAUUUCUUAUACUGUACUGUACAAUAUUUGUGUUUUUAAACUUUUUGUGAUUUUGUCUUUAUAUUGGAGCUUUACAACUCAUCGUAAAUCCAUGAUAUUUAGGAGAUAAGUGCUGGUUUUUGCCAAAUAAAGUGUUGAAAAAUUGAA
rnacentral:lncRNA from 1 species